AUUUGAACUAUGAUAGCUGAGGAGAUGGAGAAAUCACCACCAGUCUGAAUUACAUUGUCAAACUAAAGCAACCAUGCAUGGCAUCAGACAGGAGACGCGUCCAACCAUGAUGUAUACAGCACAUUUAGAGCCACCAACGCUCUGGAUAACAUGAAAACUGCCUAACCAGCUCUGCUAGGAUGUCUGGAAGUAGCUGGCAAGUUAGUACAGAACGCACGGAUCAACCCUUAAAGAGAUGCAUGGGAUAAGGCUGAAGAGGGCGUGAACGAUGCUGAAUGGGCGGGAUAAGGCUGAAGAGGGCGUGAACGAUGCUGA